CACAUCUCCUACUUGGCAGGCAGAUUCUUUACCACUGAGCCACCUGGGAAACCCUUAGCACUUAAUACUUGAAGUAAAUCCCUGCUGUUGCCAAUUUUGGCUACGUUGUAGCUGCUGCGACCGUCUUUGGACUCUAACAUUGGUGCCUCCCUAAUCAUCUCCUUGACACACACAUCCCUACAAGAGGAUUUGCAGUGAUUUGUAAGCCAAGUAUUGGAGGUCGUUUUUGCAGAUUCUUUUCCAGUUGAGCCACAAGAGAACAAAGUUUUUAAAAUCAUGAAUUCUUUCUUUCAAUAUUUUCAUAGUUGCAUUGUUCUGCACUUAAUUCCUUGAUGUACACAUUGAAUAUCCAUUUUAAUUACGAGAAAGUUACUGACACUUGAAUAAACCUCACCUUACUGCUUUGAAAUUCCUGUGUUACCCAACAGAAACCUGUGUGCACACUCAGCUCUGAAAUGAUCCUAAAGAUUAAAAAAGCCUAAAAGUG